rnacentral:lncRNA from 1 species
AUAGUUUUAAAAGGCUCAAGGCGCACCAAGGCGCAAAGUAGUCCUGGAGCCUGAGGCGCAAGGCGCAUCUAAGGCGCGGGCUUUAGUGAAGUGAGGCGCACCCUAAUUUACAUAUAUAUUUUUAUAUAAUAUAAUCAAAUUUAACAAUCAUUUAUUUGUCCUAAACACAUAAAUCAUCAAAUAUCAUCCAAAACUUUAAUUUAAUAAACAAAAAACAUAAAAAUAAAGAACUCCAAGCAUAAAAACAAAUCCAAAUCCAUAUUGCUAAUUGCCUAAUACAUAUCCAAAUUCAAAGUUUCCAAACCUAAAGGUCCAAAACAUGAAAUUUGUCCACAAUUCAAAAACAUCAUUAAAAAACACUUAAAUCACAAAUUUGUCCACAACAAGCAAUCAUCACUUCUCCUCUAAAUCAACAAAAUCAUCAUCAUCAUCAUUUCCAUCACCACAUUUGUAGCCUUCCCCAUCUUCUUCAUCUGCUAAAUCAACUAUGUCUCCAUUUUCAUCUUCAUCUAUUAGUGAAUAAGAAGGCAAAGUUCUAGAACUUGAAGCUAUCCCCCUUGUUGGUGGUAUUAUGCUUGAGCUUGCUCUAGCUCUAGCUCUAGUAUCAAACUUGGCCUCCUUAGCUCCAGCAGCUCUAGCAACAUCACCCCAUGUCAAAUUGUCAUCAUCAAAUACAAAAUCAUCUUGUGCACCUCCAUGAGAAUCCUCAUCUUCCAUUCUCCCUAUCAACCAUUCAUUGCUAUCAUCUAUAUCUUUCAAGGAAAUUGGGUCAAUGGUGUUACGUUCAUUGUAUCUUCUCUUCAAGGCUCGAUUAUACUUGAUGUACACCAAAUCAUUCAAGCGUUGAUGAUCUAACCUAUUUCUUCUCUUGCUAUGAAUCUGCAAAAAUUCAUAAGCUCAUAAAUAUAUUUUAAAAUUUUAACUUUUAAGUUACAUUCAAGACUCUAUUAGACUAUUACUUGUAAUUAUUUUGGAUUUGGUCACUCACAUUUUCAAAGAUGCUCCAAUUCCGUUCACAACCUGAUGCACUGCAUGUUAAGUUGAGGACUUUCAUUGCAAACUUUUGCAAAUUUGGAGCUGAAGCUCCAUAUGCAGCCCACCAUUCAGCUGUAGUAUAGAUAUUAACAAUUUAGUGAAACAAUUCACCCAUUUUAGCAAAAAUACAAUCUAAUAAUUUAAAUAAACAAAACUAAAUAACUAACCUGGUGCUCUAGUCUUUCUUGUCCUAACAGCUAACUCAUUCCCGAAUAGUCCUUGGGCAUUUGUGAACAAACUCACUUCGGCCACAACUUUUUCUUGCUUAGCAGGGUCUCUUGUUAGCCUUAAGAUGCAUUUAUACAAAUCACUCAUAAUCUCGGCAUCAUGCUCUAUUUCUGGCUUAUCAUAGAAGAAUUCCGGGUUCAAAAAGUACCCUGCUGCAUGUAAAGGCCGAUGAAGCUGAAUCUCCCACCUCUUAUCAAUGAUGUUGAAGAUUUCUUUGUACUUCUCUUCAUUUCCAUUAAAACUUCUCACAAUUGCAUCCUUAGCUCUAUUCAUGGCCUCAUAGAUGUAUCCCAUAGGAGCUUUUUUUUCACCAUCAACCAAACGAAGCACACGAACUAGGGGACCCGAAACCUUUAAGCAAAACACAAUAGUGUUCCAAAAUGAAGGCAUUAGAACUAUGUUGGCUAUAGUUUUCCCCUUCUGCUCUUUUGCCCAUUUACUAUCUGACCAAUCUGAGCUUGUAAACAUCUUCCUCAAAUUGUUUUUUUGUUCAUGCAAUCGCGAUAAUGUGAUGAAAGCAUUUGCAAACCGAGUCUUAGCAGGCCUAAGCAAUUCCCUUUGUCCAGUAAACCGCCUCAUCAUGUUGAGUAGCCNNNNNNNNNNNNNNNNNNNNNNNNNNNNNNNNNNNNNNNNNNNNNNNNNNNNNNNNNNNNNNNNNNNNNNNNNNNNNNNNNNNNNNNNNNNNNNNNNNNNUUAAGGUUAGUAACUCUUACCUCAUGAAAAGUUGGUCCCUUCAUACCCACACCAUAUUGGCCAAUAGCCUCAAUCAUUGGUUGGAAACUCGGAUAUGUGACUGCAUUAAAUGGAAUAGCAGCCUCAUACAUCCAUCUUGUGAUAAGCGUGCAAACUCUUUCUCUUGCUUCCUUUUUGUAGGCAUCAUUGAUGGUAGUUUGAUUCAUCUUUCCACUCCUUUGAUUUUGAACAACCAUCUCUGCAUUAGGAGUGAAAAAAUGAUCCAUAGGACCUUUUUGUCUUGGUUUUUUUGAAGAAAACGUCCUACCACCACUUCCUCCUCGGUUACUACCUCCACUAGAAAUGUUGGUGAUAUUCGUUCUACUAUUAAUCUCCUCACCAAUAUCUUCAUCUUCCAAACCAAACAAAUCUUCAUUAACAUAUUUGCUCCCCAUAUUCAUUUGCUCUUUUUGAUUUUUCUUGGAACUCAUAUACUCUUCCAUUUCUUCUCUAACAUGUUCCGGACAUUUUCUACACUUUUUAGCAUUUCUAUAUCCACCAACAAGAUGUUGUUUGUGUCUAUAGAUGCCUCCUUUGGUUACUUUAUCACAAAAAAUGUAUAUGAUGGUGUUCAAAUCUUUUUCAUUAACCAAACGACCAUAUUUCCACCCCGGAUCUCUUCUUCUACUUGCACUAGAGUCCACUUGAGUCUCACUCUCAUUAUCCAUCUUGCAAACAAAUUAUCUAUACUCCACAAUAAAAUAAUUAUAAUUAAAUUAAGAAAAAAAAUUGAAAAAAAAAAUGCAUAUCACAUUAUCAAAUAUCACAUUAACAACAAAUAUGCAUGAGUGCUUUUUAUUUAUUUAUUUUUAUUUUGUAAAAUUUUCAUGUCAAAAACUCAAAAUAUAAUAUUUAUAUUUUAAAAAAAAAAUUACCAAUGAGAGUUAUGAGGUAAGAAUGGAAAAAAAUGCAGAAAAGUGAAGAAAAAAGAAAAAUACCGAGGUCCGGAAGGUACGUGACUAUUUCCCCUUUAUUUUUCUCCUAUUUUCCCCUUAUUUUUCUUCUUCUUUUUCUUCUUCUUCUUCACU